rnacentral:tRNA from 1 species
GCCUGGGUGGCUCAGUGGUUGAGCGUCUGCCUUUGGCUCAGGUUGUGAUCCUGAGGUCCUGGGAUAGAGUCCCACAUCAGGCU